GGAUUAAUGAUUUUCCCCCAUCUUAGCUGUGUGUAUGCAUAGGUAUUUGGAAAUUAUGGAAAGGCAUCUACGUAACUUAUAGAUACAUAUUACCACAUGAUUCAUAUCAAAUAUUUGUAAAACAUUUGGUGUUUUUUGAAUUCAAAAUAUAUCUGCAGUUAAUUUUAUGAAAAUGUAUACACGGGUCAAUAAAAACAUGCUAGAUGUAAUUCUGUGAUUUCAAAUUAUAACAGGAUAGUAAUUUAAUGCAAGGGAUACAGUUUGUAUUCCAAGGCAUUUUUUCGGUUUUUUUUUACAUCUUUUCAAGUGGACUGAUCAUGUUCUGAGGUUGCUAUCAUACAAUUGAACCCACAGGCAUUUAGGAGUGCAUAACAACACACAAGAUUUUAUAUUUCAGCAGGGAACUGCUUCAAUGUAAGGGUAGGUUUCUCAACACCCCUUCUUCCUCACCGAGCCCAUCAGUGAAGUUCAGUGAAAUGAAUAACAUAAUUGGUGGUUGGUUCAAUCACUACCAGUCUAGACUAGCCCAGACGCAUCAAUUAGAGGGGGCUGUCUUUUAAAGGGAGAGUGCAACCGAAACAAGCAGAGCAUUAUUGAUACUGAUCUUUAAAAGUGCAAAUCCAGCUUGGCAGAUAAAAAAAAAAAAAAGGCAGGGAAUUUGGAGGGGGUGCGUUGGGCGAAGAAAAGAGAAAGAAGUGAACUGGAGCUUUCAGACACAGAAGGACAGGAAGCUGAGAGAAAAGGAGGGGAUAAUGAGUGAAAUGCAAUGCAGCACCUCCUUGGAACACAGUUACAAUUCAGUUCACAAGGCAUACUGGUUCACCAUAUUUUUAACUUCUUUCUUUAUUCCUUUUUUGCCUCUAUUUCCUAAGAAGUACCAGCUCAAAACUAGUACAGUUGGAAAUUUAACAGCUCUAGGAAGCUCUAGUGAGAAUAAAACCAAGUUAUACGAACCAGCCCAAACUCCUUUCGCAACAUUUUUUUCCCAAAAGAAAAGCACAGAAGAUGUUUAUUUUUGAGUCUUUCAUCCCACCUUUUUAAAAAAUCAACCGUACAAAUGAACAGCACUCAUUUUAAAUCCAGCACCUGGGAAUUAAUUUUAUGGGCAAGACACCUUUAGGUAUACAGUUCAUAGUUUUCUGUUGAAUACAGUAAAAUUAUGAAGAAUGUAACAAAGGCUUUGGUAAUCUGGUGGUGGGGAGGCCGCUGAUGGAUAAAAGACAGAUGAUUUAGAAAGCGUUAGGAACACAUCAAGCCCCAGGGAAAGAAAAUGUUUGAUUGGUAUUAAUUAAAACACUGCUAAUAUAUUCUAAUAAAAUCAAAUUUAGCAUUCUAAACUAAUCCGCUUGCAUGUCAAAGGAAAAGUAUUAUCUUAUUUGCAUCUCUGCAAUCCAAAGGUACUUGCUCAUUCAGCAGAAUUAAUUUUUAUCACCAGCCUGUUUAAUCUCCUCACAGAUUUAGUCAAAUUUAUCCUUUCAAACUGAAAAUCAGGAUCAGGGUAGAGAAUCCAUAAAGGUAUUGGGAAGACUACUGACUGUAUUUGGUACUGGCUUUAUAUUAUAUGAUGUUCUUUUCUCAUCACUUGCUAUAAUGAGGUAUGGGGAAAAUGCUGAGACUGCAGCAAGAAUGAUGAAUGGUUAAUUUUUCCUCUUUCUCUCCUACCUACCAGGUUAUUUAGACAUUUCAGUUGCCAAAUUAUAAGACGGGCAUUUAUUUACAUGACUGAUGUUGGUCUGUUGAUUAAUAUCUCAUUUAUUUCUAAAUUCAGAAUCUAUUUUAUUACAAAUUCCUAAUGAAAGGAAAAAAAUAAAAGGCUCUUAAGCCAGAAACCAAUUGCCUUUGCUCAAUUAUUUUCAACUAUAGACCUAAGAGAAAGUGGGGAGGUGAAUGUAAAAUUUUAUUCACUAAGAACUGAGUCCUUUGUUUCCUUUUUAAGUCAAAAUUUCAACAGAAAAAUUCAGGCUUUUAUGAAACAGUGAGUUUUAUGCUCUUUAUUGUUAAACUCUCACAAUGGAUAAAAUUGUCCCCAAAUGACAUCAUAGCCAAAAUGUUUCUCCUCUCGUUAGUAUCCCUUGACUGUGAUAUCAUAUGUAAAUAUGUGCCUAACACAAAAAAAAAAUGAAUGGGCUAAAUACAUCGAGGACCACAUUUGAAUAUUUCAAAAGUGAGGAAUUCUGCGCACCAUCAGGGAGAUGUAAACUACUGACCCGACUACUGACGAUACUGCCUCUUUGCUCCAUUGCCUUUUUCAGUUCUCCACGUAAAAGAGCAAUCGCAGUUCGGUUUCACAUGUAUUGUUCUAUAAUCCAAGCAAUAAAUGCUAAUUAGUAAUGCUCAAAGAUCCGACCAUUCAGAGUAAUUAUCAUAAUUUACUUCUUCCUUGUUAAAGACAUUCCUUGCUGAUUAAAAAAAAUUAAAUUGUCGUUUUACCAUUGCACUGCAGUGGAAAUACACUGGAGAGAUCAAGGUAUCAUCAUACCGUUCUGGCUGCAUUCAAAGUCACUGACAUGUGCCUCUCAGCUCAUUCCAAAUGGAAUUGCAACUUAAUUUCUAAAAAGGAAUUCUUGUAAAUACAUAAAGUUUUUACAUGUGCACCAGGAAUGUAUGAUUUUAUUUUACAAACCCCAAGGCUCCUCCUUCCUGGCUCACCCCCUUUCUAAAACAACUUACUGAGCAGAACAAAGGAAACUGCUAACUAUAGAGGCGUCAUUAAGUGUGAACAGCAACAGCAUGAUAAAGUAUGUGAUAUGACAACAUAUUUCAUUGCACAAAAGUGAAGAUAAUUAAAUAAUUCAAUAGUAACCCAGACUAAUUAGCAGAAAGAUCUUUAUGAGGAAACAAGAAAAUGGAUCCAAUCAACUUGAAUAAUAUGCUCCAUUCUCCAAGAUCACAAAUAUGUAUUUGGUUAUUUGAUGAUUGGUUGAUUCAUACAGAAAGAUGAGCACAAAACCCUGUUCCUCAAAACGGAGCUUUGAUCUGGUAUCCUCUUUAGGGCAAAUUAAUCAUAAUUUUUAUAAGAACGGAAUUUAAUGAAGUAUUGUUUCUUUUCAAUUAAAGAUAUAAUCUACCAUUCGCCUGCACGUUUCUCUUUAUCAGUUGAUCUAAAAUAUAGUCUAAAAAUUUUUCACCCGCUUAGCUUUUCAUAUCGUUGCCUGAGAAUAUACUAUAUAAAGCACCCCCCCCCACAUUUUAUAAUAAGGCUCAUGUUUAAGUUUGUUUCUUGUUUCUUGAAGCAAAUAAGGAUACUAUGUACAGAAGAAACAGAAUAAAAAAACAUGCUGAAUAUUAUAUUUGGUGGAGCCCUUCCCUUCCUUUAUCUAUCAAGUUGUGUUGAUGUUCCUUUCAGCGGGUCCUAUAGCUCCCCCCCUCAGGGAUGUCUCCCCAGUGAAAGGCCAAAGACUGCAGAGAGUGCUGCACCAAUGGACGCUCAAGCCAACUCUGAAGUUGAAACUAAGCGAACACCUGAAGACACUUCUCCUGCUCAGCAACACACCCAAAUGGUGCAGUUUCAGCCCACUGAACUCUCAGAACAAGAGACAAUCUUUUCAAGAAACAGAAAAACUUAAUAAUGACAUCUAGAUUUUGAAUGAGCCAAGGACUUUCCCUUCCUCAUGUGUAUUCCUCUGUUUGUAUUUAAAGUCAGCACAACAUUCAUUUUUCAAAAGUCUUCCUGAUAUAAGUAUGCUUAUCAAUGCACCAAUUUUUAAAAUAGAAAAUUGCACAACUG